rnacentral:rRNA from 1 species
AUUGAACGCUGGCGGCAUGCUUUACACAUGCAAGUCGAACGGUAACAGGCCGCAAGGUGCUGACGAGUGGCGAACGGGUGAGUAAUGCAUCGGAACGUGCCCAGUCGUGGGGGAUAACUACUCGAAAGAGUAGCUAAUACCGCAUACGAUCUAUGGAUGAAAGCGGGGGACCGUAAGGCCUCGCGCGAUUGGAGCGGCCGAUGUCAAAUUAGGUAGUUGGUGGGGUAAAGGCUCACCAAGCCAACGAUCUGUAGCUGGUCUGAGAGGACGACCAGCCACACUGGGACUGAGACACGGCCCAGACUCCUACGGGAGGCAGCAGUGGGGAAUUUUGGACAAUGGGCGCAAGCCUGAUCCAGCAAUGCCGCGUGCAGGAAGAAGGCCUUCGGGUUGUAAACUGCUUUUGUACGGAACGAAACGGCUCUGGUUAAUACCCGGGGCUAAUGACGGUACCGUAAGAAUAAGCACCGGCUAACUACGUG